rnacentral:rRNA from 1 species
ACGGAGGGUCCGAGCGUUAAUCGGAAUUACUGGGCGUAAAGCGCGCGUAGGCGGCUUGGUCAGUCGGAUGUGAAAGCCCCGGGCUUAACCUGGGAAUUGCAUUCGAUACUGCCGAGCUAGAGUAUGGGAGAGGGAAGUGGAAUUUCAGGUGUAGCGGUGAAAUGCGUAGAUAUCUGAAGGAACACCAGUGGCGAAGGCGACUUCCUGGCCCAAAACUGACGCUGAGGUGCGAAAGCGUGGGUAGCGAACAGG